rnacentral:tRNA from 1 species
GAGGGUAUAGCUCAAGUGGUAGGGUGCAUGCUUAGCAUGCACAGGGUCCUGGGUUCAAUCCCCAGUGCCUUCC